AAACUACUGGAGAUAAAGCAGGAUCAACGAUUUCGUACGUAUACAACACAAAUUCUGUCGUAUCUAUCGGUCUAGCUUGGUUAAUUUUGCAAUUUCCCGAGAUGUGGUUUCCUGCAAAUCAAAAUUUGUCACGAAGAGAAGCGCCAGUUGAAUUCAGUCGAUAUUUUCAUCCAGAGAGAUGUAUUACGUGACAGUUUUAGUAUAUUUUUUUCUAUAUUGCCUGAGCAUUUCCUCCGGUGAUCUUCAAGAAACUGACUUAUUGGGCACUGAUCAAUGUCCUGAAGGAAAAAUCAUGAGCUUGUUUGGGAUGUGCGAAGAUGCAUUCGAAUAAGCAAAAUGACGACUUGGAUGGUGGGAAGCCACAAAGGCCGAAUAAGCUGAUAACAUAACAAUGAACGUUGUCAUUCAAUAAACCUAUUCUCCUGCGAA